rnacentral:rRNA from 1 species
GACGAACGCUGGCGGCGUGCUUUAGGCAUGCAAGUCGAACGCGAAAGCCCCUUCGGGGGUGAGUAGAGUGGCGAACGGGUGAGUAACACGUGGGUAACCUGCCCCUCGCAGGGGGAUAACCGGGGGGAACCCCGGCUAAUACCCCGUACGCUUGCUGGGGCGCAUGCUCCGGCAAGGAAAGGUAGCUUCGGCCAUCCGGCGAGGGAGGGGCCCGCGGCCCAUUAGCUAGUUGGUGGGGUAAAGGCCCACCAAGGCGACGAUGGGAAGCUGGCCUGAGAGGGGGGUCAGCCGCACUGGGACGGAGACACGGCCCAGACUCCAACGGGAGGCAGCAGCCAGGAAUCUUGCGCAAUGGGCGAAGGCCUGACGCAGCAACGCCGCGUGGGCGAUGAAGGCCUUCGGGUCGUAAAGCCCUGUUGUCGGGGACGAAGGGCGAAGGGUUAAUAGCCCCUAGCCUGACGGUACCCGACGAGGAAGCCCCGGCUAACUACGUGCCAGCAGCCGCCGUAA